GAUGAAGAACGCAGCGAAAUGCGAUAAGUAGUGUGAAUUGCAGGCUUUAGUGAAUCAUCGAAUCUUUGAACGCACAUUGCGCCCUUUGGUAUUCCACUGGGCAUGCCUGUUCGAGCGUCAUCUACACCUUCGAGCCCUGCUCGGUGUUGGGUGUCUGUCUGUCCUGCAGACUCACCUCAAAUCCAUUGGCGGUGGCCCGCCUAGCUUCCUGUGCAGCGCAUGCAACUUGCGAGCUGUCGCGGGCCCACAUCCACCAAGAUCAUCGCGAUUUGACCUCGAAUCAGGUAGGGAUACCCGCUGAACUUAAGCAUAUCAAUAAGCGGAGGA
rnacentral:misc_RNA from 1 species